GGAGAUAAAGAGACAGCAGCAACGUUGUUGGGUUGCAAAAUGGAGUGUGUGUGUGAAAUACGAUGGUUGUGGAAGCAAAGACACAUGCAAAAACACGUUGUGUAUAGUAAGAAACCAGUGGUUGAUGAUGAUGGUGUUGGAAAAAAGAAGGUGCAAAAACAAAAAUUAUUGAAUAUUUAUCUGUAGCAGGUGUGAUGGUCU
rnacentral:lncRNA from 1 species